CCGGCGGCUGGUUUGAACGCUAUACGCUACCGCGCCAGACACAGCCGCGCUGACGGGCGCCCGGCACUCUCACCCCCAUCCCUCACAGCCCGGAGGAGGAGGAGCAGCAGCAGCAGUGCAGCAGCGCCAUGAGAAUCAGAAACUUCUGUGCAAAGAACGGGUAGAACAGCUAGACUAUAUAAACUAGUAGCGGUGGAGACAGAGGCACCUUUGAUAAAGUGCCAGCAUGACAUGAAUCCAUUUGGAGCCUGAAGGAUCCGGUGAACACGAAGCUGAAUUCUGGGAGUUUGCGGUGACGUCAUUCCCAGCAGCUGAUCGCGGUUAGGCACACCUUGGAUUCCCAGCGUUGGGGUGCCUGUGGUUUAGGAAGCUUUGGGACAGGAUUGACUGUUGAGUUCUCAACAGCGAUAGAGAUAUCAGCCAUGAGAAUCAGAAACUUCUGUGCAAAGAACGGGUAGAACAGCUAGACUAUAUAAACUAGUAGCGGUGGAGACAGAGGCACCUUUGAUAAAGUGCCAGCAUGACAUGAAUCCAUUUGGAGCCUGAAGGAUCCGGUGAACACGAAGCUGAAUUCUGGGAGUUUGCGGUGACGUCAUUCCCAGCAGCUGAUCGCGGUUAGGCACACCUUGGAUUCCCAGCGUUGGGGUGCCUGUGGUUUAGGAAGCUUUGGGACAGGAUUGACUGUUGAGUUCUCAACAGCGAUAGAGAUAUCAGACUAUAUAAACUAGUGGCGGUGGAGACAGAGGCACCUUUGAUAAAGUGCCAUCAUGACAUGAAUCCAUUUGGAGCCUGAAGGAUCCGGUGAACACGAAGCUGAAUUCUGGGAGUUUGCGGUGACGUCAUUCCCAGCAGCUGAUCGCAGUUAGGCACACCUUGGAUUCCCAGCGUUGGGGUGCCUGUGGUUUAGGAGGCGUGAGAACUUCAGGUGACUACAUAUUUGUGGACCCUCACCAUCAAGCAGAAAAAAUACCUUUAUGUGAACAUAUUUAAGGCAACAUAUGUAUUACUAUAAAUAUAUUUUAAUGUUAUAUUGUGGACAUUUAGUACACAUCUGGAGAAGUAUUGACAGCAUCUACAUGUAUAAAAGUACGAUCACCGGUGACUGGAACGCAAAUAAACUAUGGAUAUAAGGACUUCCGGCCAGGUGAAACACACAGCCAUAUUGCUUCCGGCCACGUGAUCGUGAUUUGAGGUUCUUAACCUGGGUAGAACGCACGGCCAUGUUAUUUUCGAUCAUGUGACCGCUUUGCGCAUGCGCUUGGAGGAUGCUAUGCCAGCUAAUGAUAACGUAGAACAGCUGAUCAAUGUAUUAGUUAGGGUAUAAGUAAUAGGGUUUGGGAGAGCUCUAUAUGCUUCUGAGGAAGGACCGUAAGCAUCUGAAACACGUUAAGCAAGAAAUUUCCAUGUUUUAUCAUCCCGCGGCUGUCAUCUAUAAACUGGUGCUGGAGUUGCAGUGCUGGAUCCCGGUUUCCGGAGCCGUUCAUCCAGGGUGCUUCUAUCCAUCUGGGGCUACCAGGACUCCAUUACCAGCUGCUGUUAAAGCCUAUGGGAUUAUAUAUGUGCCUGUUUCCGUCUGUCUGGUGUUAGUGCAAUAUAUAAAUAAAUCAAUGUGAUUUUAAAAGGUUAACUGCA